rnacentral:misc_RNA from 1 species
CUACGGAGUACAUAAGAUUAUU